rnacentral:rRNA from 1 species
CGAUGAAGCCCUUCGGGGUGGAUUAGUGGCGAACGGGUGAGUAACACGUGGGCAAUCUGCCCUUCACUCUGGGACAAGCCCUGGAAACGGGGUCUAAUACCGGAUACGACCUGCCGAGGCAUCUCGGCGGGUGGAAAGCUCCGGCGGUGAAGGAUGAGCCCGCGGCCUAUCAGCUUGUUGGUGGGGUAACGGCCCACCAAGGCGACGACGGGUAGCCGGCCUGAGAGGGCGACCGGCCACACUGGGACUGAGACACGGCCCAGACUCCUACGGGAGGCAGCAGUGGGGAAUAUUGCACAAUGGGCGCAAGCCUGAUGCAGCGACGCCGCGUGAGGGAUGACGGCCUUCGGGUUGUAAACCUCUUUCAGCAGGGAAGAAGCGCAAGUGACGGUACCUGCAGAAGAAGCGCCGGCUAACUACGUGCCAGCAGCCGCGGUAAUACGUAGGGCGCAAGCGUUGUCCGGAAUUAUUGGGCGUAAAGAGCUCGUAGGCGGCUUGUCACGUCGGGUGUGAAAGCCCGGGGCUUAACCCCGGGUCUGCAUCCGAUACGGGCAGGCUAGAGUGUGGUAGGGGAGAUCGGAAUUCCUGGUGUAGCGGUGAAAUGCGCAGAUAUCAGGAGGAACACCGGUGGCGAAGGCGGAUCUCUGGGCCAUUACUGACGCUGAGGAGCGAAAGCGUGGGGAGCGAACAGGAUUAGAUACCCUGGUAGUCCACGCCGUAAACGUUGGGAACUAGGUGUUGGCGACAUUCCACGUCGUCGGUGCCGCAGCUAACGCAUUAAGUUCCCCGCCUGGGGAGUACGGCC